UACAGAGGGUGCUAGCGUUGUUCGGAAUCAUUGGGCGUAAAGGGCGUGUAGGCGGUUUGCUAAGUCAUGUGUGAAAUCCCUCGGCUCAACCGGGGAACGACGCAUGAAACUGGCAAGCUAGAGUACCAAAGAGGGGGGUGGAAUUCCCGGUGUAGCGGUGAAAUGCGUAGAUAUCAGGAAGAACACCCGUGGCGAAGGCGGCUCUCUGGGACGGUACUGACGCUGAGACGCGAAAGCGUGGGGAGCGAACAGG
rnacentral:rRNA from 1 species